CAACCCCAGGUUAGGAGGGAUUACCCACUGAGUUUAAGCAUAUCAAUAAGUUGAGGAAAAGAAACUUACAAGGAUUUCCUUAGUAAAGACGAGCAAAUUGGGAAGACCCCAAACUUAGAAUAGGGAAACUCCAUCAUCUAAAUUAUAUUCUUGAGAAGCAUCCUCAGUAGUGGACCGUACCCAAGUCCCCUGGAAGGGGGAGCCAGAGAGGGUUAGAGUUCCGUUAUGCCCGGACCUUGUCUCACACUAUGAGGUGCUGUCUACGAGUUGAGUUAUUUGGGUUUGUAUCCCAAUUAGUGGUUAACUAUGUCCAAGGCUAAAUACGGUCAAGAGACCGAUAAUGAAAAAGUACCACAAGGGAAAGAUGAAAAAGACUUUGAAAAAUGAGUCAAUGAAUGCUUAAAUUUGUUGGGAGAGAAGAGGAUGUGGGCCAGUGAUGUGCCCCAAUCAGAUAUGGAAUAGUGAUGAGCUGGUCUAUCGAUUGACUCAGGGCGUGGACUAUCAUGGAUUUGGAGGCAGCCAAAGCCAAGGCUCUCAAUACGCUCGUGUAAUGUCGUCUCCUUGUUUAUGGCGGACAUCAUGCGUCUCUGGUGUGCUUUGGCAUAUGCGCACUCCAGAAGCUGGCCUGUGGGCUCUCCAUUCGACCUGUCUUGAAACAUGUACCAAGAAGGCUAACAUGUGUGCGAGUCAACGGGCGAGUAAACCCAUAAUAUGUAAGGAAGCUGAUUUGUGGGAUCCCCCUAAGGGGUGCACCGCCGACCGACCUUGAUCUUUUAAGAAUGGUUCGAGUGUGAGCAUACCUAUUGGGACUCGAAAGAUGGCGAACUAUGCCUGAGUGGGGCGAAGCCAUAAGAAACUCUGGUGGAGGCCCACCAUGAUACUGACAUGGAAAUCAUUCGUCUGACUUGGUUAUAGGGGUAAAAAUCUAAUCGAACCUUCUUGUAACUGGUUCCCUCCGAAGUUUGUCUCAAGAUAGUUGGAGCUCGCGUGCGAGUUCUAUCGGGUAAAUCUAAUGAUUAGAGGUCUCAGGGGCGCAACUCUCUCCACGAAUUCUCAUACUUUAAAUAGGUUGGACGGCGCAACUGCUUUGUUUAGUCAUGCCACAAAUAAAGUGCUCCAAGUGGGCCAUUUCUGCUAAACAAAACUAGAAAUGUGGGAUUAACUGAAAGUCGGGUCACGAUGCCAAAUUACGCGCUAACCUAGAUCUCAUAAAGGGUUUUGAUUGAUUAAGACAAUAGGACGGUGGUCAUAAAAGUCCAUGGCACCAAGGCGCCCAGGCACCAUGGCACCGUCCACCAUGAAACCAUGGCACUGUGCCCCAUGGAACCAAGGAACCCAUGAAUGCUAAACUAGGAACUGUGUACUUGUCACCCUUCCACCCGCGGCGAGCGCACCAAGGCACCAUGACACCAUGGGCACGGUGCCUUAAUCAAAAGAUCGUAAACCUAGGCUGGAUCAUCAGAAUAUUUUCCUUUUGUUCAUCCAUCUUCCUCACUAUUGCAUACUCCUUUCGUUACAUACAUAUUCUAAGUGUUUUUAACGAUAUUUCAAUAACACCUCAUAUGAUGGGACAGUUUUCCUAAUGUCCCCAUGUUAUUUUUAUAUUUUUAAAAUUUUUUAUAUAGUAUCCUAAAAUUUAAAUAUUUUAUAUCAUUAUGUUAUACGUACAAAUAUGCACUCAUUUAUUGGUUUAAGGUUACUUCAUGCGCUGGAAAUAUUUUCCUAAUAUUUUAAAAUGUUUUUUUUAUAUUUUUUUAUAUAUUUUCAUUUAUUUUUUGUAUUUUAAAAGUAAUAUUUUGAAAAAAAUAUUUUCUUAAUAAAAAUUAUCAUUUACAAAUUACAUGACUCUUUUGAGAGUGCAUUGGCUCAGACUUAUGUCAAAACAUAGAGUUCUGAUCCGUACAUGUCUAGAAUAUUUCUUUGGUAAAAUCAUGUCUACUCCUAUCACUAGAAUUUUUAAAGCAUAUAUAAGGAGGGUAGAGAUGUUGAAGGCACUUUAAGGUGAUUGUAGAUAGUUGACAUAGGCGUCCAUUCAGCAUGUCUACGAACAGUGUGGGCACAGGGAAGCAUGCAUGGAAAGUUCGUGCGAGCCGCUAGUGUUCGCGAAAUAAUGUCGACCGACUUCAUUGUGUGCUCGUGUCAACUAUCGGUGGCGUCGUCCAUGAUGGGGCUGUUGGCGCUUGAUUUUUAAUGAGCCAGCACUUUUGUACAUGCAGUGCAUGGUGCCUUGAGGGUAUAAAUGUUGGUGGACAGACACUCAACUCGACAACGACACCACCAUAGUAGGCGACUAUAGGUUCAUCGAUAAUUGACAUUGGCCGUGGCAUUGCCUAUGUCGGCGUUGUGUGUUGUCUAUUUUGCCGGACGUUAGAGCCCGGGUCAUUGGACAUGUCACUAGUAUUGUACUUGACGAUCACAAAAAUCUCUAAUUGCGACAUGCCACCACACACCAACGUUGUCCUCGAUGCAUCGCUGGGAUCUUGAGCCACACUCUGCAUCGCAGAAAACCUAUAAUUAUGACGCCAAAGUUUGCAUAAAAGGCCACUUAAUAUCAUACUUAACUGUUUGUUUGGAAUGGAACACAUGCGAUACUUGAAAAACAAGUGGCGGACUUGGGUGAGGCUAUGCCGUGGCAUGCUUGAGGGUGAGGUGAACUCACAACACUUGGUGUAAUUUUUCAAGGACGGAUGCACAAACCUCCUUUGGAGAUAGACAAAAAAAUAAUUGUUUUGGAGGGGGAGGGAUGAAUCGGAGCGACAAAGGGCUGAGUCUCAGCAUAUCAUCGAAACAAGGCCACUCUCCCACUUACAAUACCCCGUCGCAUAUUUAAUUCAUCUGCAAAAGAUUCUACCCACCGCUCGAUAGAAAUUGUACUUCAAGGCAGCCACCACGACCCUUCCGCCACAGUGGCUUAGCCAAUGACAUGUACCCUUUAAAGCCGAGGCCUUUACUGUAGGUCGACAAGCAGACGCUGGGAGCAUGCAUCUCUUCUAGCCCGAAUUCAUACUUAGAGGAUUUCAAUCAUAAUCUAGCACAUGGUGCCAUCAAGAUCUGCACCGACGGCCAUUUCGCCCAGGCUUGUGCCCAAGGUUUCUCAGCAACCAUCGUUCCCUCCUACUCAUGGGGCGUGGCACUUGCACCAAUAGUAUGGUAUAGGGUACGCUCUUAAGAACCAUUUAUUUUUGGGUCUAGUUGAUUUGGCAGGUAAGUUAUUACACGCUCUUUAGAGAAUUUCAACUUCUAUGACCACUAUCCUGCUGUCUUAAUUGACCAACACCAUUUGUAGGAUCUUUAUUACCGCACAAUUUGGCAUCAUUACCCGACUUCCAGUUCAUCCUGCAUUGCCAGUUCUGCUUGCCAAAACUGUCCUACUUAGAGUUCUUGACUCCGUGGUGCGGCUCAACAAAGUGACCGCAUCGCGCUUGACAAAAUCAGUGGGGAAAGAAGUCCCUGUUGAGCUUGACUCUAGUCCGACUUUGUGAAAUAACUUGAGAGGUGUAGUAUAAGUGUGAGAUGAAAGGUGAAAGUGAAAUACUACUACUUUUAACAUUAUUUUACUUAUUUUGUGAAUCGGAAAUUGGACACAGCCCCUCUGUAUGAACCCAAGUCUCACUUUGCAGGUCGAUCUUGGUAGAAGACAUUGAUGUUAUCUACUACUCGGAUAACUAUAUUAAUUCCAGAGAUAACAUAUGCAACAAACCAUAACUUCUAGAAGGAUUGCAUUUAUUAGAUAAAAGGUCGAUGUGGGCUCUACUCUUACGGCGAUAUCGGAUCGUCGCGUGUUGGUUGGGGGACGAACUGGGAACGGUUCCUUUGGGUGAAUUCCCCACUCGUCGACAAACAACUAAGAACUGGUACGGUUAAGGGUAAUUCGACAGUUUAAUUAAAAUAAAGCAUUACAAUGGUCCAAUAGAUGUUCACGCAAUGUGAUUUCUGCCCAGUGCUCUGAAUGUCAAAGGGAAUAAAUUCAACCAAGGGUAGGUAAACAACGAGAGUAAUUAUGACUGUCUUAAGGUAGUCAAAUGCCUCAUCAUAUAAUUAAUGACGCGCAUGAAUGCAUUAAUGAGAUUCCCACUAUCUUGUCUACUAUCCAGCGAAACUAUAGCAAAGGGGACGAACGGGCUUGGUAGAAUCAACGAGGAAACCUAGGUUCGAUCAUCAAAAUAUUUUGCUAACGUUUAUCCAUCUUCCUCACUGUUGGAUACUUCUUUCGUUACAUACACACUAAGUUUUUUUAACAAUAUUUCAAUGUUACCUCAUAUGUUGGGAUGUUUUAACUAAUGUCCCUUUGUUAUUUUUAUAUUUUUUUUCAAUUUUUUAUUUAAUAUCCUUAAAUUUAAAUAUUUUAUAUCAUUACAUUAUAUGUACAAAUAUGC
rnacentral:rRNA from 1 species